ensembl:lncRNA
GUGACUUUUUGUUUGGGAGAUGGAAUUUCUACUGUUUUUCUGACUUUCCCAAGGAGAAAAGAAAAAUAUCCCCACUGUAAACAAAGCAGGACUGCUAGCAUAGCGGUACUGUAACUGCUAGGGUAAAGAGCUGAAAAUUGAUGCUGCUUUUUGACUGCAGAAGUACUCUUGCUUUAUUAAACAGGGCCAACAUGCAAAAAGGGAUCUCGUUUUUACGGACAGAAGAGGGAAACAGUUUUUUGAGGGGCCAGAUAGUGACCUGUGAAUCACAAGGUUGGAAAGGACCUACAAGAUCAUCUAGUCCAACGGUUCUCCCAUUACCAUUGCUACUAAACCAUAUCUCGUAGCUCCUCAUCCAGAUGCCUCUUGAACACUGCCAGGGACGGCAACUCCACCACCUCCCUGGGCAGGCCAUUCCAGUGCCUGACCACUCUCUGAGAGAAAAAGUUUUUCCUUAUGUCUAAUCUAAACCUCCUCUGGUACAACUUGUGGCUAUUUCCUUGACAAGUAUCCCUUCCUGCAUAUUCUGGUAACUCUUUGGCAUGGGGGAAAACAACUUCUGCAAGAAGCUGUUCCGUAGAGCCACUAAGAUCCCAGAGACUUGGCAGAAGUUUUUGUAUCUUCUUCGUUGUAGGUUAUUUCUUUACCCUCCCUCCUAGGUGUUUCACUAAUUCUUUGUUUUCCCCACCUCCUUUACCAACAGCUUCUGUAGGCUGUAUUUAUAUAUAUAUAUAUAUAUAUAUAUUUGUCCUUUCUGUGUAAAGCAGCAUGAUUCACAGAAAAAGGCUUUGUAGCUCCUGCUUGGUGACCUCUCCUGGUUCCUCACCUCCUGUUCUCCACUGAUCAGAUCUGUUGCUGAUUAGAUGCUCAGCAGAGGUGAUUGUGCAGCCUCUGACACCUCACAUCCCCUGCUGCCUAGAUUUCAAAGAGCAACUUCUGGAUUAUUUCACAUGCACUGACAACAUAAAUAGAAGCUGUUUUCCAGAUGAAGAAUUCUAUGUGGGAUAUGUUAAACGGUCUGCUAAGGACCAGCCUGAAUGCCUGAGGAUUUCUGAACAUCCAUCAGCACUCCAGGAUUUAUGGACUCCUGACUAUGCUCAGCCAAUGAUUAAGACUUCCAUAGCAUUUCUGUCCAUUGAAGGGACCCAUAGUGACUCCAGUGUUACGUACUCACCCCACAACAUCCCCCAGAGCCUCUCCAUGUCUGUGCUGAUUGCUUCCUCCAUGAUAAUUUGGGCAGUUGAUGUUGCUGAAUGUGAGCACCAACUGCUCUCUGGCCUAGAGACAAUGGUGGGACAGGCAGUGAUCAUAGAAUCAUAUAACCAUGAAGGUUGGAAAAGAC